rnacentral:rRNA from 1 species
AAGAAAUAUGGAUUCUGGCGGGAGAUGUCUUGCGAGCCUGCGCUUAAGUGCGCGGCAAGCGGGCGUUUCCAUUUCACGCUGGUUAUUCUACACACUGUGGAGUAUUUUAUACUUUAUCGGGCAGUUGCUUUUGCAUCUGUCCACACAAAACACAAACAACCUUUUUUAUUAUACAUCGUCAACACAAAUCUGUCUCUGACAGUAACCAAAAUAUUCA